rnacentral:rRNA from 1 species
GACGUAGGGUCCAAGCGUUGUCCGGAUUUAUUGGGCGUAAAGAGCGUGUAGGCGGCUUGGUAGGUCUCGCGUCAAAACCUGAGGCUCAACCUCAGUUCGCGUGGGAAACCACCCAGCUAGAGUCCGGAAGAGGAGAACGGAAUUCCCAGUGUAGCGGUGAAAUGCGCAGAUAUUGGGAAGAACACCAGUGGCGAAGGCGGUUCUCUGGGACGGUACUGACGCUGAGACGCGAAAGCGUGGGGAGCGAACAGG